rnacentral:rRNA from 1 species
GCCCUUAGAGUUUGAUCCUGGCUCAGGACGAACGCUGGCGGCAGGCUUAACACAUGCAAGUCGCACGAGAACAGGCCUUCGGGCCUUAGUAAAGUGGCGGACGGGUGAGUAACACGUAGACAACCUGCCCCAAAGCGAGGGAUAACUAUCGGAAACGGUAGCUAAUACCGCAUGCAGUCUUUACCGGGCAUCCGGUUUAGAUGAAAGCCUUCGGGCGCUUUGGGAUGGGUCUGCGGAGGAUUAGUUUGUUGGUAGGGUAAAGGCCUACCAAGACUACGAUCCAUAGCUGGUCUGAGAGGACGAUCAGCCACACUGGGACUGAGACACGGCCCAGACUCCUACGGGAGGCAGCAGUGGGGAAUCUUGGGCAAUGGGCGAAAGCCUGACCCAGCCAUGCCGCGUGGAGGAAGACACCCCUAUGGGGCGUAAACUCCUUUUGUGCAGGAAGAAGGCCUCGGUCACCGAGGUUUGACGGUACUGCACGAAUAAGCACCGGCUAACUCCGUGCCAGCAGCCGCGGUAAUACGGAGGGUGCAAGCGUUGUCCGGAAUCACUGGGUGUAAAGGGUGUGUAGGCGGGAUUGUAAGUCAGAGGUGAAAUCUUGCGGCUCAACCGUAAAAUUGCCUUUGAUACUGCA